UUGGUCUUUUUAGGUUCAUUUGUAAUUGGGAUUAAUGAUUAAAAGAGGAUUUAGUGGUUAGUUCAUUGAUAAACUGUUUCAUGUCAAAUGCUUUUUGUUACAUUUGUGUAUUUGGAUCUACUCUUAUCAGGAUUAACAUUGUCUUCAGUCUUAGUUGUUGUUGUAGUUGACAGUCUUGAUCAACGGGAAACCUUUAAGAUGUUUACAGUUGAAAUUUGAGACUUGAAAAUGGUUAAUUUAGACGAGAGCAAUCAAUUGUUAUUUAAGCCACUUUUCAAUUCUAGAACUUCUUCCCUUCAUCAUUCCCUUCAUUGGGUCACCUUUGGAAGCCUUUUUGCCAAAGAUCAAUGUCAUGUCUGUCAAUUGAAGGUUGACUUAAUGCACAAUUAAACCAGUUGAUUUGACUGUAAGAUGAUUUAAAGAGAAACAAUUAAGCUGCUUGGACUGAAAUAUAAUUUAAGGUCAUGUUUUUAUUUCUUUCAAAUAAACCGCUCUGCUUGCUAUUGGACAACCCUUUCUUUUUGCCAGCUCUGAUCAUAUGUUUUCCCUCUUUUUCAUUAAAAAUUGUAAUGUUUUUUUUGUAUUAAAUUUAAUCUAGUUAAUCAUUAUGUAACUAUUUUAGGUUAUUAGAUUGUCUUAAUUUUGUGUUAAUUUUGUGUAUAUCAAGUAUUCUUUGUUCUUUAAUUUUGUUCGUCUGGUUGGUUAAAUCGGUUGCAAAAAGAAGCCAAUAUAACUUGGUCAAGAUUUGUAAUAGACUUCAAGGACAGAAGUUGGACCAAUUAAGCUGUUAAAAUCUAGUCCGCUUGUAAAUGGAGACUUGUUACCCAUUCGGUUGUUUUUUUGACCAAUCGAUACCGAUUUUUCAACAAACAUGGAUGAAGAUCAUAAACCUAGAUGGAGGUUCAGUUUAUGACCAGUGAGCGGCCCAACCAAGUAAUGGCUGUAAAUCAAUUGGCCCGGCAGGUUUUGACAAAACUAGUAAUUAAAGAUGAAGCUGUUGAGAAAUAAAACCUGCCAUUUUGGUGAGCCUUUGUAAAAUGUAUCUUAAGCCUGUUGUCUUGUUAUGUUUACAUGGAUUCAUCUUUAAAUUUUCUCAGAAUCUGGACAAGAUUGGAACCAGCGAGACAAAGACAGACAAGAUUCUAAACAAGAUUCUGAUUAUUCUGUGAGAGGAGGCAAACGAUGAUGACGAUGACGAUGAAGACGAAAACGAAGACAGAGAAGAAGAAGAAGAAGGAGGAGGAAGAGGAGUGUUAAUAUCGUUGGUAAUCAUCAUUUGAUAAGAGCUUGUGCAAUGUGAUUGCUGUACUUUUAUUAGCAUUAUGAAUGGGAAAAAAAGCUUUUCUUCCUUUCACUUUACACAUCUUCACUUGUUAAGGGUUAAACCAUAAAAAGCUCAAAGCCUCACCUCUUUUUGGAUCAAUACAACUAUAUUAUGAAUCCUUAUGAUAGUUAGGUGGGAUGGACCCACUAUUUUCAUUGGUAUCUCUUUAUACAUCAUCUUCACUCAUCAUCUUGUUUCGUCUCUUUUUCCAGGUCAUAAACUGAUGAUCCUUUUUAUGCUUUAUCUUCUUGCUUUUUGCUCCAUCGUUUACCCUUAACCCAAAGGAAGAUGCAAAUGCAGAUGAAGUAUUGAAAGAGAGAGGGAUAAAGAAAGUCAAAAGGAUGAAGCUCUUUUUUGUGAGAUGCUCAUUGUAACAAGAAGAUGAAGAAAAAAUACUUUUCAAAUGACAUCUCUUCGUCUUUUUUGAUAAACUAUUGUCAAUUGAGCUUAUCCAUGGUUUUCCUUGUUACUUGACAUUUUCAAACCUGUAAUUAAUUUGCUUAUUAAUAACAGCUUCUCUUUGUUUUCAUCUUUCCCUCAUCAUAAUCAUCUACGUCUUCAUCAAUCCUUUUUUCGGAUCAAUCCUUCUUACAUUAUAAUUGUCAAUUCAAUGUCUCUUGCUCGUCUAAAUUGGAAUACUUUUGUCAACUAAAAUUGUUAACUAAUUGUAAA